rnacentral:tRNA from 1 species
GGGUGGGUAGCUCAGUGGUUAGAGCGUAGGUCCCGUAAACGAAAGGCCCGGGAUCGAACCCUGCUAAAGGCU